rnacentral:lncRNA from 1 species
GUUUAUCUGAUAUUAUUUUGUAGCUUCAAGAUAGGAAAGAUAUAAUUGCUUAUUUUUAGAAUGACAUUGCAGGGUAGGUGUGAGAUGCUGGUUCUGGCCAGUUUGAGCAUAAAAUGUGUAAAAUAUUGGGCCAGAUACAGCCGGUUUAAACACAAUAGGGUUAAAGGGGCAGAUCGGGAGA